rnacentral:miRNA from 1 species
AUGCCUUAUAAUUUGGGAUGGAGA